rnacentral:rRNA from 1 species
AAUGAACGCUGGCGGCGCGCCUAAUACAUGCAAGUCGAGCGAGAAGACGUAGCAAUACGUUUGUAAAGCGGCGAACGGGUGAGGAAUACAUGGGUAACCUACCCUAGAGUGGGGAAUAACUAGCCGAAAGGUUAGCUAAUACCGCGUACGCUCCUUGGACUUCGGUUCAGGGAGGAAAGCGAUGCCGAGGGUAUCGCGCUCUUGGAUGGGCUCAUGUCCUAUCAGCUUGUUGGUGAGGUAACGGCUCACCAAGGCUUCGACGGGUAGCUGGUCUGAGAGGACGAUCAGCCACACUGGGACUGAGACACGGCCCAGACUCCUACGGGAGGCAGCAGUGGGGAAUCUUGCGCAAUGGGCGAAAGCCUGACGCAGCGACGCCGCGUGAGGGAUGACGGCCUCGG